UGGAACCCCAUGGCUUAGGACAGCCAGUGUGGCCACUGUUAAUGGAUGGGCUCCAGGGCUGACUGUCCCUCCAGGAGUCCAGGUGAAAGUUUCUGUGAGUCACGACUGGGAGUCUGGGACGUUUGCUCCAGAGUAAGACUCGGUGACUUCAUCUCUCCUGGGUGUGAGGACGAAUUGGUAUUUUGGUGCUUUGAAUCUCAAAAUGGAAAGCAACUUGGGGAUCCCCAACCUGGUGACCUAGAGAAUUGGGCAGUAUGGUUGACAUCAGGGCGCAGGACGACAGGGAGGGGAGGGCCGUCCCUCCAGUCCAGAGCUGGGAGAUUGAAAGGAGGCCAGACAGACCUCUCCAGCCAGACUGACUGCAGCAGGUGGCGAAGCCCAGGCGGCUCCAUGUCUGCAGGAAGCAUUCUGCUUCCCACAGGCCUCUGAGUUGCACUGAGAUCCCCCACUUUCCAAUGAUGGUCCCUCCCAGACUGAUACCCGAGCCAUCAGGUGGGGCCAGCACUUGGGAGAAUCUAGGUGUUACCCGAAGUUUCUGAAACCUGAAUUGAGGCCAAGUUGCAGGCCUGGGGAAGGAGACAGAGCAGC
rnacentral:lncRNA from 1 species